ensembl:lncRNA TTN-AS1 TTN antisense RNA 1
GGCCAAUACUAAAUUAUUGCUGCAUUUUACACUUGAUGUCAUCUCAAAAAUGGAGAAAAAUAAGUCAUUGUGUACAAUGCAGCUGUAUAGUCCUUGGUCUACCAGCUGAACAUUACAUAUGACUCAGGUUGGCUGUGCUUGAUACUUGGCCUACAGCAUUACUAGCAACAAACGUCUUCUUCCUUUGGUGAACUGAAUGAGGCACCAGGAUACACAUGAACUGCCACUGGACAUGAACUGCACACAAUAAAAACCCGGCAUUGAAAACGGGCUGGCUGCCCUUCAGAAGUGACAGUGUCCUGAAGCGGGGUGAUGAUGGCAGGUGGAUAAACAGGCAUUUCCUGAUCAGGAGACACAACUUCUGGAACUAAAGAAAGAAACCACAAGAUUUGUCAUGAUUAAGUCACCAUAGAGACCUCACAGAAGGGAGCAUGUAGGUUUAUCUUAAUUUAUUUCACUGCAGAGUGCUUUCAAAGUUGGGUAGCAAUCUACUUUUAUGAGCUCCAAAUUGUAUUUUUAAAUGCACUGGGAAAGGACAAAAGCCUGCUUCUUAGGUUUUAUUUUCAGCUGGAAGUAGCGAGGCAUUCCUACCUUCCACUGAGAGUGAAGCUGAUGUUGUGGCAACACCAUAGUCAUUCUUGGCUUCACAGGUAUAGACUGCCGCAUCCUCUGGGAAG